AAACCAUGAUGAGAACACUAUCGUAAUAAAAACUUUUAAAUCUAUCCUAUGCUUCAAAUAAUGAUUCUCCAUCUACUUGAGCAAAGCUUGUAAUUCUAUUCCUCAUAU